GACCCGAAAUUUAUUAUUCGUUAUUUAAUUAUUUUAUUACGCGAGGGCGUAAUUCAUAAUUAUUUUAUUAAGCGGCGAAUAAUUAAUUGGCGCGAAUAUAAGUUAAUACGCGAGUUAGGAGCGUUACGUGAGUGAACCGUAUUAUUGGGCCUUGGAUUUGUUAUUGGGCUUUUGGCCCAAUGGGCCAAGACAAGUGGGAAGGGGGCGGUUUAUGUUAAGCAAGUGGGAGGGGAGAUAUUUUCAUUGCUUGGUUGUAAGAAAAGUCAAUAAAGUGGAAAGGAGAUAAGAGCAAGAGAAAGUGAACUUGGUGACUUAGAGGAAAUCACAAAACUCAUACUUCUUCUUCCUCCUUGGCCGUGUAUCUUCAUUCUUCUUUCUCUUCCAUCACCAAAAUUUCAUACCUUUACCAAAUUGAUCCAUCUUAAGCUUGUUGGAAACAUGAGAGUUCAUGGAUCAUCAUCCCUAAGCUAGGGCGAGCAAGAGAGCAAAGCAAGAGGGUGCUAGGGCUUGAGAAAGAGAGGAGCUCAUGAGAGCUAGAACAAGAGGAGCUUGAGGAUUCAUCAAAUUUCUAAGAUAUCCAGGUUGACAGGUUAUAUGUUAGCUUGUCCGAGUAGCGUGGUGAAGCUCCGCUCUGAUUGUGACACGGGGA